GGGGGGGGGGGGGGGGGGGGGGGGGGGGGGGGGGGGGGGGGGGGGGGGGGGGGGGGGGGGGGGGGGGGGCGCGGCUGCAGCCGCGCGUUUCUUUGUGCGUCUGUCGGCGCUUCGGGUGGUAUUUCCUGCGCCGCGCGGGUGGCUGGCCCUUUUGCCAUUUUUAUUGCUGGAAGAGGGUAUUCUGUGCAAGAGAAAAAAGAAGAAAAGCUUUUGUAAUUUUUGCAGAGCUAUUUCUGCUGCAGCUUCCUGUCCUUGACCCAGCGAUACAGUGUGAAGUUCUCCUGAGUCAAUGA
rnacentral:lncRNA from 12 species